GCCAGGUGUGGUGGUGCAAACCUGUGAUCCCAGCUACUCGGGCGGCUGAGGUGGGAGGAUCACUUGAGCCCGGGAGGUGAAGGCUGCAGUGAAGAACCAUGAUCACACCACUGCACUUCAGCCUGGGUGACAGAGUGAGACCCUGUGUUAAAAAAAAAAAAAACAGGAUCUUGCUCUGUUACCCAAACUGGAGUGCAGUGGUGUGAUUUUGGCUCACUGCAGCCUCCAUCUCCUGGGAUCCAGCAAUCCUUCCACCUCC
rnacentral:sRNA from 1 species